rnacentral:rRNA from 1 species
GAUGAACGCUGGCGGCGUGCCUAAUACAUGCAAGUCGAGCGAACGGACGAGAAGGUUGCUUCACUGAUGUUAGCGGCGGACGUGUGAGGAAAACGUGGAUAACCUACCUAUAAGACUGGGAUAACUUCGGGAAACCGGAGCUAAUACCGGAUAAUAUUUUGAACCGCAUGGUUCAAAAGUGAAAGACGGUCUUGCUGUCACUGAUAGAUGUAUCCGCGCUGCAUUAGCUAGUUGGUAAGGUAACGGCUUACCAAGGCAACGAUGCAUAGCCGACCUGAGAGGGUGAUCGGCCACACUGGAACUGAGACACGGUCCAGACUCCUACGGGAGGCAGCAGUAGGGAAUCUUGCGCAAUGGGCGAAAGCCUGACGGAGCAACGCAGCGCGAGUGCUGAAGGUCUUCGGAUCGUAAAACUCUGUUAUUAGGGAAGAACAUAUGUGUAAGUAACUGUGCACAUCUUGACGGUACCUAAUCAGAAAGCAACGGCUAACUACGUG